rnacentral:rRNA from 1 species
AGCGGCGGACGGGUGAGUAACACGUGGAUAACCUACCUAUAAGACUGGGAUAACUUCGGGAAACCGGAGCUAAUACCGGAUAAUAUUUUGAACCGCAUGGUUCAAAAGUGAAAGACGGUCUUGCUGUCACUUAUAGAUGGAUCCGCGCUGCAUUAGCUAGUUGGUAAGGUAACGGCUUACCAAGGCAACGAUGCAUAGCCGACCUGAGAGGGUGAUCGGCCACACUGGAACUGAGACACGGUCCAGACUCCUACGGGAGGCAGCAGUAGGGAAUCUUCCGCAAUGGGCGAAAGCCUGACGGAGCAACGCCGCGUGAGUGAUGAAGGUCUUCGGAUCGUAAAACUCUGUUAUUAGGGAAGAACAUAUGUGUAAGUAACUGUGCACAUCUUGACGGUACCUAAUCAGAAAGCCACGGCUAACUACGUGCCAGCAGCCGCGGUAAUACGUAGGUGGCAAGCGUUAUCCGGAAUUAUUGGGCGUAAAGCGCGCGUAGGCGGUUUUUUAAGUCUGAUGUGAAAGCCCACGGCUCAACCGUGGAGGGUCAUUGGAAACUGGAAAACUUGAGUGCAGAAGAGGAAAGUGGAAUUCCAUGUGUAGCGGUGAAAUGCGCAGAGAUAUGGAGGAACACCAGUGGCGAAGGCGACUUUCUGGUCUGUAACUGACGCUGAUGUGCGAAA